GCCCGCUUGGCUAAGUGGUAUAGCGUGUCACUAGUAUCCUCUAGAUGUCAUGACAAGAUCAGCGGUUCGAUUCCGCUAGUGGGCA
rnacentral:tRNA from 1 species